UACGGAGGGUGCAAGCGUUAUCCGGAUUCACUGGGUUUAAAGGGCGCGUAGACGGCGCGGUAAGUCACUUGUGAAAUCUCUGAGCUUAACUCAGAACGGCCAAGUGUUACUGCAGUGCUAGAGUGCAGAAAGGGCAAUCGGAAUUCUUGGUGUAGCGGUGAAAUGCGUAGAUAUCAAGAGGAACACCUGAGGCGAAGGCGGGUUGCUAGGCUGACACUGACGCUGAGUGCGCGAAAGCCAGGGGAGCAAACGGG
rnacentral:rRNA from 1 species